ensembl:lncRNA
AUUCCCUUCUCCAGGGGAUCUUCCCAACCCAAGGACUGAACCUUGGUCUCCUACAUUUCAGGAGGAUUCCUUACCAUAUGAGCCACCAGGGAAGCUCAAUACCACACGUGAUCCUUCCCAUAAAACAAACUAAAUACACACACAGGGUAAGGAAGGGGAAGAAAAGGAAGCAAGGAGAGAUUGCUGAUGCUGCUCACCAAGAAAAACGUCACAUCAGGUGGCCUCAUGCUGAAGUUGGCUCUCUUGACCUUAUGUUACAGAGAUCAAGGAGAUAAAGCUCAAUGGACCCAGUUGUGGAGGAGAGGAGAAGGGUCAGCUCUUG